rnacentral:rRNA from 1 species
UACGUAGGGUGCGAGCGUUAAUCGGAAUUACUGGGCGUAAAGCGUGCGCAGGCGGUUCGUUGUGUCGGCGGUGAAAGCCCCGGGCUUAACCUGGGAAUGGCCGUCGAAACUGGCGAACUGGAGUGUGGCAGAGGGGGGUGGAAUUCCGCGUGUAGCAGUGAAAUGCGUAGAGAUGCGGAGGAACACCAGUGGCGAAGGCGGCUUCCUGGCCUGUUCUUGACGCUGAGGCGCGAAAGCUAGGGGAGCAAACGGG